GAUUGGAUAGUUCAGUUGAUAGAGCAUGAAACUCUUAAUGUCAGAGUCGUGGGUUCAAGCCUCACAUCGGGCA